rnacentral:tRNA from 1 species
CGGUGCGUGACUCAGUGGAUAGAGCCUAGAGCUCGUGACCAUAAGGCUCCGGGUUCGAUUCUCGCUAGAUUGC